UCCCUGAUGGUCCAGUGGUUAAGACUUGGUGCUCUCAUUGCCAUGGGCCUGGGUUAAAUACCUGGUCACGGAA
rnacentral:tRNA from 1 species